UAAGUAUCUAUGAGUGAAAAACGAAAGACAGAGGAGAAUAAAACUAAUUAUCUAUUUCAAGAAGUCAGAGUGUUUGGUUGCAAGAACAGGGUAUCCAAUAGCUGCAGAAGAAUUUAUACUACUAAUGAUUUUGUUAAAAAGUGGCUGAGAUAAUACAGUUAAAGGGACAAUUUCAAUUUCUAGUGGCCAGACUAAAAAAAACAAAGGAAACAAGGAUAUCAUCAUCAUUGUUUUAAUGCCCACUUUUGCAAGCUUCUAUGAUGGGCCAGACAGAAUUCACUGAUGUAAAUUUUCAACAGCAAGAUGCUCUUCCUGUCUCCGACCCUCCAAUGAUUCCAAGUAAGGAAUGGUUUUGUGAUGAAGAAAGUUUGCUUCAUAAUUAUGUAGUUCCUGGUUUGAUCCAACAGCACAGUGUUUCUCACUUGGAUUUUUAAAGCAAUUUGAGGGAAUUAGAUGCUGUUUUCUAGCAGGCUAAGAGACCACGUAGAGGUGGACUUGCUGAUGAUAAAGUUACAUGCGUAGGAGAGUUAGAGUCGAAUACACAAGGAAACGUGCAAACCAAUAAAAAAAAAGAACAAAAAAGAUUUCUAAAGCAACUUUCAGAAUAACUGCGGAGCUAGGAUCAAAAAUAACAGAUUUGCGAAGAAGAUUCUUCUUCAAUUCUUCAAACCAACGCAAAGAAGAAGCCUCAGAAAUAACAUUCUGCUGGAAAAAACUUCAUAAUUUAAAACUAUUCAAGUUUUAGAUAGAGGUUGAACAAAAAAAAAAAAAAAUAAAAAUAAAAAUAAUCCAUGGUGUAAAGAAGACAUGCAAAUGUGGAUUCUUUAGAAGAAAAGUACAGUUAUGUGUAAAAACAUCGACAGAAUUUAAGUGGGUAACACGCCACAAGAGGUAACAUGUUGGACUUGUAAAUAUUUAAUGAGUGUAAUGUAUUUAUUAUGCUGGGCUUAUAAAACUGAAACUUAACUUCAUUGAUUUAUCUUCCCUUCAACAUUACAUUUUAAGAGGCAUAAAAAUGACUUAUUGAACGGUUGUUAUGAAAAUGUUUUCUGUUACGAAUAGGAACAUUUUAAGAAUGCAUUAACGAAAGCAUACACAUGCACUUCAGAAGGCAACU